CCUACGGGAGGCAGCAGUGAGGAAUAUUGGUCAAUGGACGAGAGUCUGAACCAGCCAAGUAGCGUGAAGGAUGACUGCCCUAUGGGUUGUAAACUUCUUUUAUAUGGGAAUAAAAUGUUCUACGUGUAGGUUUUUGUAUGUACCAUAUGAAUAAGGAUCGGCUAACUCCGUGCCAGCAGCCGCGGUAAUACGGAGGAUUCGAGCGUUAUCCGGAUUUAUUGGGUUUAAAGGGUGCGUAGGUGGAUGGUUAAGUCAGUUGUGAAAGUUUGCGGCUCAACCGUAAAAUUGCAGUUGAAACUGGCAGUCUUGAGUACAGUAGAGGUAGGCGGAAUUCGUGGUGUAGCGGUGAAAUGCUUAGAUAUCACGAAGAACUCCGAUUGCGAAGGCAGCUCACUGGACUGCAACUGACACUGAGGCACGAAAGUGUGGGUAUCAAACAGGAUUAGAUACCCCUGUAGUC
rnacentral:rRNA from 1 species